GUCUGUAUGUCUGUUUUGCUACCAGUACCACACUGUUCGGUCACAAUGCCCUCCUCUGUGGUACCCUUGAGGUGCGUGGGUCCCCAAGUGAAGCCUGUUCAUGGACCCCUAGUGGUGGCAGGCCAUGCCCACCUUUGGAGUCAGUGAUAACUGUGGUGAUUUGCCCCCACCUUCUGUAGACCAUGCAAGAAGCACCUCGUACAGCUUAGCCCCCAUAGGAGGUGCUGCACCAGCUGCUCUUAGAUGUAAAUUCCUGGGAAGGGACAGUGAUCUAGUGUCUGGGCACUGCCCAGAGCAUUUGGCAGUGGCAGCAGCUGGGCAGGUGUGCUCCCAGGGGAGAGAGAGCAACCACAGGUGGUAUUCCAUCACAGUAUCCUCCUCUGUGGUGCCCUCUGAGGUGGUUGGGGCUGCAAGUGGUUUUUGUUCAGGGAUCCCCAGUUGGCGGUGGGCCACGUCCACCUCUGGAGUCAGAGAUAACUGCAGUGGUUUGCCCAAGCCACCUGCAGACCACGCAAGAAGCACCUCAUUCCCCUUAGCCCAUGCAGAAGUGCUGCACCAGCUGCUCCUAGUUGUAGGGUCUUGGGAAGGGACAGUGAUCAAGCAGCUGAGUGCUGCCCAAAGCGUUUGGCAGUGGCAGCUGCAGGGCAGGUGUGUUCCCAGGGGGGUGAGAGCAAUAAAGUGUGGUGCUUGGUUGCAGUGCCCUAUUUUUUCUUUUUUGCCGACUCCUAAGGUGACUGGGGCCACAGGUGGAGCCCACUCACAGGCCCUAAGUGGUGGCAGGCCAUGCCUCCCUCUGGCCUCUGAGAGGACUGCCAGUCUGUCCCUGCUGCCUGUAGAUCAUACAAGAGGCCCCACUUAGCACUUAGCCCCCUGCUGCCCUUAGCCCACACAAGAGCUUCAGGCCAUCUGAAGCCUGCACAAGAAGCACCUGGCCUCCCAUGGCCUGAGCAAGUGGCUUCUCACCACCCGCAGCAGGAACCAGGGGCACUCCGUCCUCUGAGAGCGCGUGUGCACAUGCGCAGGGAGGUUCUUAUGGCGAUCUUCCCCUCCUCCUCUCACCCUGCCCAGUAAUGGCGCCUUGCUUCUCCUGUGGGCCCAGACCUUCUCCCGCGUUCCCUCUGCCAUGGCGUUCCCCUCCCCAGCCCAUAGCACAUCACUUCCCUGCCCGUGGUGCAGUGCUCCUUUGCCCCUCAGGCUGUCCCCACAUACCCAGCCCCAGUCCUCUUCCCAGGACUGACCUCCCGAGCCUGAGUCUCAACGCCCAGCCACCCCCCGCCCCCAGCGCUUCAGUCUGUGGUGUCCAGGCUGGUGGUGCAGAUGAUCUGUGCAGCUCUCACUCUGCUUUGCCCUCCUCAGUCCAGCUGCUGUGCUUUUCUCCGCGACUUCGAGGUCCCUCCGGCUCGGCUGAUCUCCAGGUAGGUUAGGUGGUUUCACAGGGGGUGGGUUUCCUUUUCUCCCUCACUUCUCCCUUUCAGGAAUGCUGGUCCCGCCCGGAUUCCUUUUCUCUCUCUUUUUCUUUUGUUCUACACAGUUAUGUCAAGAGUUUCUUGCCCUUUUUGGAGGUUUAAGUUCUUCUGCCAGCAUUCACAGAUGUUCUGGGUGAGUCGUUUUACAUGUAGAUGUGUUUUUUUGAUGUGUUUGUGGGGGAAGGUGAGCGCGUCCUCUGACUCCGCCGCCAUCUUGCUCCGCCUCUCAGCUUUCUUUUUAUAAGGUUCUGGGAUUAUAGCUGUUAUUUGAAAGACAGUCUUUCCAGAAGGAUAUUAACCUUAACCUGAAGUGAAACGUCUAGAGAUUUUAAUAUAACCUGUUUUGUUAUCAGUAUGUUAAAAUUAAUCCAUACUUUCUAUUUUGACUUUCUUAUUCAAGAUUUUUUAAUAAUAAAGUUUACCCCUUUAUGUAAUUAAAUUAGUCCUUCAUCUUCCCACUCCCUUUGAGUUUAUUGUUCUGUUGUCAGAGAAGAUAUUAUGUACUGUUCUACUUUUUGAAGCAUGUCCAUGUAUUUGUUUUACCAGGUCAGUUUCUUAAAUUUUCACAAUAAUUGCAAAGAAGUUAAUUUUUCUUACAGGCAGACAUAGGUUAUGUAUGUCAUUUAUUUAGUCUCUCAAAAUCCUCAUUUUGGUUACUCAAUCUCUUCUGACAGCUAUAAAGUAAUAUUUUCUUUUUACAUCACAUUUUUGUAGAUUUCUCUUACACUUUCUUGUUUCAAUUUAAAUAUUUUCACUGAUACAUCAUUAUUAUGUAUAGAUAUCAGAUAUAUUAUUUUUAAUAUAACAUUUAGAAAAUGUCUUAAGUCUACUUUGGGUACCUGGAAACUGCUGGGUGGCAGUGCUGGGUUUUUGUUGUUUUUUAAGGCCUCAUCUCUGGCAUGUGGAAGUUUCUGGGCUAGGGGUCAAACGAGCUAUAGUUGUAGGCCUACAUCACAGCCACAGCAACACCACACCUGAGCCGCAUCUGUGACCUACGCUGCAGCUUUUGGCAAUGCCAGAUCCUUAACCCACUGAGCAAAGCCAGGGACCAAAUCUGCAUCCUCAUGGACACUAUGUCACAUUCUUAGCCCACUGAGCCACAACAGAAACUCCAGCAGUGCUGUUUAAGAUGGGCUACCUGAGCCUGGUCCAGGACCCAAAGGGGCCCCCAGCUCUGGCUUCUCCCCUGUGUCUCUUUCCUUCUUUCUUACCUGUACCAGACAUGGGGUCCUCCAGAUACCCUGAGGAGCUCUUAGCUUUGCAUCCUUGGCAUUAUUUUGGUACCCCCAUUUGCAGGGGGGAUGCCGGGCAAAUAUCUCUCUCUGAUCAGCAAUAUUUAUUUCCUGGGUAUAUAUGAAACUGAGCCACCAGAAUGGUGCUGGCUUCUUAAUUUUGGGUGAUUCAAGUUUUUCAUAAGACAGGGGUCCCAUGAAAGAUAUUUGCCAGGGAUCCCAGGCACCUUAGGGGGUGUCUUGCUCUUAAGCCCCUGUUAGUUGUUUCCCUUGAACACAAAGUGCAUAAAAAGUAGAAAGGAAAGGAGAAAGGCAAUCUUUGACAAUAAAACUUGCAAUAGAAAACUACUUUUGUUCUUAAGAAUUUAGCAAUAAAUUAAGUAUUCUUUUAAGCUGAACAAGAAUUUAUUUUUCUCUAGGUAGUGGAAUGAUGAUUCAUAUGCAACACAUCCUUAGGCCAAAGCUGUGUCCUAAAUGUAAAUCAAUUCUGAUAAUAAAGUUUUAUCAGUUUAUUCAGAAAGAUCCUCCUAGAAGGUAUCAAUCACAUCUCAUCUUUAUAUAAAAGUUUAAUAUUUCUUUGAGUUUAUAUUCUUCAUAUAUAACUUUGUUUAUGCAGUUUUCCCCAAUAAAGUUUCCAAAUGAAUAAAUUGUGAAGGAUGAAACACAUUAUCAGAAUGAACUGAACUUUUUUCCUGCAAUAGAUAUAUAUAUGUAUACACAUAUAUUUGCUUUAUAUCCCUUAAGAAGUGAUGAAUUCAAAUCUUUGAGAAUCCAAAGGAAUUUCUGGAUACGUUUAUCAUAAAUGUUUGGGAUUUUAUUUACUUUUAUUUAUUUAUUUUUUCAUUAUAGCUGGUUUACAGUGUUCUGCCAAUUUUCUACUGUACAGCAAAGUGACCCAGUUACACAUAAAAGUAUACAAUCUUUUUUCUCACAUUAUCAUGUUCCAUCAUAAGUGACUAGACAUAGUUCCCAGUGCUACACAGCAGGAUCUCAUUGCUCAUCCAUUCCAAAAUCUGCAUCUAUUAACCUCAAGUUCCCAGUCCAUCCCACUCCCUCCCCAUCCCCCCUUAGCAACCACAAGUCUAUUCUCCAAGUCCAUGAGUUUCUUUUCUGUGGAAAGGUUCAUUUCUGCCAUAUAUUAGAUUCUAGAUAUAAGUGAUGUCAUAUGGUAUUUGUCUUUCUCGUUCUGACUCACUUCACUCAGUAUGAGAGUCUCUAGUUCCAUCCAUGUUGCUGCAAAUGGCAUUAUUUUGUUCUUGUUUAUGGCUGAGUAGUAUUCUAUUGUGUAUAUAUACAGCAUCUUCCUAAUCCAUUCAUCUGUUGAUGGACAUUUGGGUUGUUUUCAUGUCUUGGCUAUUGUGAAUAGUGCUGCGAUGAACAUGUGGGGGUAUGUGUCUUUUUUAAGGAAAGUAUUGUCUGGUUAGAUGUCCAAGAGUGGGAUUGCUGGGUCAUAUGGUACUUCUUUAUAUAGUUUUCUAAGGUACCUCUAUGCUGUUUACAUUCCCACCAACAGUGCAGGUGGGUUCCCUUUUCUCCACACCCCCUCCAGCAUUUGUUAUUUGUGGACUUAUUAAUGAUGGCCAUUCUGACUGGUGUGAGGUGGUACCUCAUAGUAGUUUUGAUUUGCAUUUCUCUAAUAACCAGGAAUGUUGAGCAUUGUUUCAAGUGCUUGUUGGCCAUCUGUAUAUCUUCUUUGGAAAAAUGUCUUUUCAGGUCUUUUUGCCCAUUUUUCCAUUGGGUUGUUGGCUUUUUUGCUGUUGAGUUGUAUACGUUGUUUGUAUAUUUUAGAGAUGAAGCCUUUGUCAGUUGCAUCCUUUGAAACAAUUUUCUCCCAUUCCGUAAGUUGUCUUUUUAUUUUCUUUUUGGUUUCUUUUGCUGUGCAAAAGCUUGUAGUUUGAUCAGGUCCCACUGGUUUAUUUUUGCUUUUAUUUCAGUUGCUUUGGGAGACUGACCUGAGAAAAUGUUCACGAGGUUGAUGUCAGAGAAUGUGUUGCCUAUGUUCUCUUCUAGGAGUUUGGUGGUGUCUUGUCUUAUAUUUAAGUCUUUCAGCCAUUUUGAGUUUAUUUUUGUGCAUGGUAUGAGGGUGUGUUCUAGUUUCAUUGAUUUGCAUGCAGCUGUCCAGGUUUCCCAGCAAUGCUUGCUGAAAAGACUUGUUUUUUUCCCCAUUUUAUAUUCUUGCCUCCUUUGUCAAAGAUUAAUUGACCAUAGGUGUCAGGGUUUUUUUCUGGGUUCUCUCUUCUGUUCCAUUGGUCUGUAUGUCUGUUUUGGUACCAGUACCACCCUGUCCUGAUGACUGUGGCUUUGUAAUAUUGCUUGAAGUCUGGGAGAGUUAUGCCUCCUGCUUGAUUUUUAUUCCUCAGAAUUGCUUUAGCAAUUCUCAGUCUAGGUGGUUUCAUAUAAAUUUUUGGAUGGUUUGUUCUAGUUCUGUGAAGAAUGUCAUUGGUAAUUUGAUAGAGAUUGUGUUGAAUCUGUGUAGAUUGUUUUAGGUAAUAUGGCCAUUUUUACAGUAUUAAUUUUUCUGACCCAUGAGCACGGAAUAUCUUUCCAUUUCUUUACAUCUUCUCAUCUUCUUUAAUUUCCUUGAUUAAUUUUUUUUUUAGUUGCAGUGUUUAUUUCUGGUUCUCUCUUGUUUUUUUUUGUUUUUUUUUGUUUUUUUUUUUUUUUGCCACACAGGCAGUAUGUGGGAAUUCCUGGGCCAGGGAUUGAACCUACGCCGCACAGCAGCAGGAGCCUCAACCCGCUAGGCCAUCAGAGAACUACCGAUUAAUGUUUUGUAGUUCUCAGCAUAAAAGUCUUUCACAUCCUUGAUCAGGUUUAUUCCCUGGUAUUUGAUUUUUGGUGGUGCCAUUUUAAAAGGUAUUGUAUUUUUGUAUUCCUUUUCUAAAAUUUCAUUGUUAAUAUACGGAAAUGCGUCUGAUUUCUGAAUGUUAACAUUCUAUCCUGAUAAUUUGCUGAAUUUGUUGAUCAGUUCAAGUAGUUUUUGGGUUGAGUCCUUAGGGUUUUCUGUAUAUAGUAUCAUGUCAUGUGCAUACAGUGACAGUUUUACCUCUUCUUUUCCUAUUUGGAUGCCUUUGUUUGUUUGUUUGUUUGUCUGAUUGCUUUGGCUAGGACUUCCAGUACUGUGUUGAAUAACAGUGGUGAGAGUGGGCAUCCUUGUCUUGUUCCAGAUUUUAGUGGGAAGGCUUUCAGCUUUUCUCCAUUGAGUAUUAUAUUUGCAGUGGAUAAUAUCUGGAAUUUUAAAAAUUAUCACACAUGUUCACAAAAAAGGAAAAUCUAAAAUAUCUAAAGCAGGAGUUCCCUUGUGGUGAAAUGGGUUAAGGAUCUGGCAUUGUCAGUGCAGUAGCUCAGUCACUUCUGUGGCAUGGGUUUCAGUCCCCGGUCCAGGAACUUCCAGAUGCUGUCCGUGUGGCAAAAAAAUAAAAUAUAAACAAGCUAAAAUAAAAUAAAACAAAAUAUCUAAGGUAGCUCUGCAGGAAGGAUCAUAGUCCCUGCUCAGGAGAGGCAGGAAUAUAUCUUGGUAGAAUAUGUUUUCUGAUGGUUUUGCUGAAAGCUGAAGCUCUUUUACCCUUUAAGACCUUGGAUCAUGACCACUCUUCUUAACAACAACAACAAAAAAAGUACAGAAUUUAUCAAGACUUGUCAUUUGGUGAGAUUUUCUUAAAUUGAUGAAAUCUGAAUCAAAUUGGAAAUUCAGAAAGAGAGAGAAGAGAAAGCAAUUACAAGAAAAACAAUGAAAGCAUCAUUUCAAUUUUGUCUGGAAACUGCAAAAAUCACCAAUGUGCAUUUGCCAGCAAUAGCUGUCAAAAUUUUCCUUAAUGUAUUUUGUCAUCAAAGAUUAUUUAAAUGGCAGUUCUCAUUUUGCAUUUUAGUUCCUACCAUCAUCGAUGGCCAUAAUCCCAAUUAUCUGCUUCAUAAAAUAAACACGGAGUUUCCUUCAUGGCUCAGUGGUUAACAAACCUGACUAGGAUCCAUGAGAAUGCAGGUUGGAUCCCUGGCCUUGUUCAGUGGGUUAAGGAUCUAGUGUUGCCGAGAGCUGUGGUGUGGGUCACAGACGCGGCUCAGAUUCUGCAUGUCUGUGGCUGUGAUGUAGGCCAGCAGCUAUAGCUCCGAUUCGACCCCUAGUCUGGGAACUUCCAUAUGCUGCAGGUUUGGCC
rnacentral:lncRNA from 1 species